ensembl:lncRNA
AGAACUGCUGAUUUGCUGAUUUUUAUGAAAUGAAAUGUAAUCUCAUUAUGAUUCAGAAUGAAGAGGAUGAUAAUGGCGAUACCAGCAAGGACAGGGCUUGCUGUCCGGGAAGUCAAGGAAACUGACUAUAAUUAAUCUGCUUUUCGACAAGCUUUGUGCCUCUUUAAUUGAGCCUGUGACCCGAAGAGCUACAGUAAAUACAAAAAGCACUCAAUAGAGGGCCAAUUGUGUUGGGUUAUGAUUUUUUUUUUAUUAU